rnacentral:misc_RNA from 1 species
GAUGAAGAACGCAGCGAAAUGCGAUACUUGGUGUGAAUUGCAGAAUCCCGUGAACCAUCGAGUCUUUGAACGCAAGUUGCGCCCGAAGCCAUUAGGCCGAGGGCACGCCUGCCUGGGCGUCACACGUCGUUGCCCCCCCAUCUACUCCUUCGGGAUUGCGGGGGGCGGAUGAUGGCCUCCCGUGCGCCUCGUCGCGCGGUUGGCAUAAAUGCCAAGUCCUCGGCGACGCACGCCACGACAAUCGGUGGUUGCGAAACCUCGGUUGCCCGUCGUGUGCGGUCGUCGCGCAUCGAGGGCUCGAAAAAAUUGCUGGGCUCCGGCUCGGCUUUCAACGCGACCCCAGGUCAGGCGGGGUUACCCGCUGAAUUUAAGCAUAUCAAUAAGCGGAGGA